rnacentral:rRNA from 1 species
CCUACCAUCUCUUACCCAUGUCUUUUGAGUACUUACGUUUCCUCGGUGGGUUCGCCCGCCGAUUGGACAAUUUAAACCAUUUGCAGUUGCAAUCAGCGUCUGAAAAACAUAAUAGUUACAACUUUCAACAACGGAUCUCUUGGUUCUGGCAUCGAUGAAGAACGCAGCGAAAUGCGAUAAGUAGUGUGAAUUGCAGAAUUCAGUGAAUCAUCGAAUCUUUGAACGCACAUUGCGCCCCUUGGUAUUCCAUGGGGCAUGCCUGUUCGAGCGUCAUUUGUACCUUCAAGCUUUGCUUGGUGUUGGGUGUUUGUCUCGCCUUUGCGUGUAGACUCGCCUUAAAACAAUUGGCAGCCGGCGUAUUGAUUUCGGAGCGCAGUACAUCUCGCGCUUUGCACUCAUAACGACGACGUCCAAAAGUACAUUUUUACACUCUUGACCUCGGAUCAGGUAGGGAUACCCGCUGAACUUAAGCAUAUCAAUAAGCGGAG